GUUUGCUUUUCAGCAGUACUUUUUAGAUUUUUUUUUUUUUUUUUUGAGAUUGGAUCUCACUUAAGUUGGCCAGGAACUUGCUUUGUAGAUUAGGAUGACCUUGAACUCAAUCCUUCUGCUUCUGUCUCCUGAGUGCUGGGAUCACAGCUGCACACCACCUCACCCAGCUAUUGAUUUUUGUAAAUCACUGAAAAAAAAAUCUGGAUAAAAACUAACCAUACCUUCCAGGGUUUUGGGGUUGCCCAUUGGACUUCACGCCACAGGGUGAGAUGCCUGUAUCACAAAGAGGAGGGAUUUCCAUCUACCUCUCUAGGACCGAGUUCAGUAUCUUGGGAUCAGGAUGACACCUGGAUCAGCUACUCACAAUCCGCUACUCACAGGCAAACAUGGACCCAAGCUGAUGGCAGGUAAACUUCCUGUACUUCAAACUGUCUCAGCAUUUGUUUCCCAGAGGACCCACCUUCACAUGGUAUUAUGGUGCCAGGAUGUGUUUUUCAACCUUGUGUGUGUUGAUGACAUGGUGUACAAGGUUUUUGUAGAGUUCAGUUUUGCCUUGUACUUACGGCUGUUCCCUUCUCCAGACCCAUCCAACCCCAGGUAGGUACAACAGGGACUUUUAUGAUUGUAACUUGGGCAUACAGUUGUCUUCAUUUUGGACAUACAGUCUUUCUCUUUCCCUUUAUUUAUUUAUUUAUUUUUGUCUUAGCUUUGUAUUUGAAAGCAUGUUUAUUAAGUCUUAUUCAGAAUUUCAAGAUACACACAUCAGCAAUAUGUUUGGGUCAUAUGGUUCAUAAUAUCUGCAUUUAUUACUUUACUUAGAAAGUUUUUUAGAUUUAUUUAUAUGUAUAAGUGUUUUACAUGCAUGUAUGUGUAUGUAGUUUUUUUAUAUUUAUGUGUAUGAGUGUUUUGCAUGCAUGCAUAUGUACAAUGUGUAUGUUUUGUACUUGUGGAGGUCAGAAGAGGGUGUCAGAUUUCCCAGAACUGGAGUUAUGGGUGGGUGUGAGCUACCAUGAGCAUUCUGGGACUUAAACUCGGGUCCUUUGCAGGACCAAGUGCUCCCAACCACUGAGCCAUCUCUCCAGUGCCCCUCCCCCACUUGUUUGAAAUAGCCUCACUUUGCAGCCCAGACUGGCUUAGAAAGUGGCCUUUAACUCAAAGUGAUCCUUCUGCCUCAGCUUCCCAAAUGCUGGAAUUAAUAGAUGUGAGCUACCACACUUGAUACCCCCACCCCAUUUUAAGAAUAACAGAAAUUAUUUGAGAGUAUAUAUUAAUAUCUAAAUGGUCUUUUAAUAUUUUUUAAACGAUCAUGUUACAUUGUAGGAUAUUUGUCAGUUACACCCAAAUUAGAAUUGUCUUACAGUUGUCAAUGAAAAAAGGCGGUGUCUUUCUAAGCCUACUGCCUUGUUUUUAAAUGGGCAACUUCCACAGACAUCUACAAGGUAGGAAAGGGUUGGAUAAGGUGACAGAUGGUGUCUACACAGGAGUCUUGGAGAAAUGCAGGUCUGGUGUCAGCUCCACUGGCAGAGACCAGAGGAGGGUGGAUGAGUCUUUGAGCCAAGACCCAAGGGUAGGUAGGAAGGUACCAGGCGAACAGGGUACAAGGGGAAGGUGGAUAUUGUUCUCAGUGGAUGUGGCAUGGAGUUUAGAGGAGAGCCACUGGCUCUGUUUGUCUAGGGUGCAAAUGGGAUUUGGGAAAACACAAAGUGCUAUGCUGAGCUUUAGAUUUUAACCAGCAGAUAAUGGAGAAUCAUUUAUCAACCAGGGAGCAAUAGUGACCAGGUUUCCCAGGUAGAAGAGUUGCCCUGGAGCAAUGUAAGGGAUGGAAUGGGGCCUCUAUGGUAGUGAGAUCUUUAGUGAUGUAGAAAAGUUAAGUGUUAAAAAACAAAACAAAACAAAACAAAAAAACACAUCAUAGUUAGGUUGGAGAUAAUGGCUUAGCAGUUAAAAGCACUUGUUGCCCUUGUACAAGACCUAGUUUGAUUUCCAGAACCAGUGUGGUGGUUUACAGAUGCCUGAAACUCCAGUUCCAGGGGAUCAGAUACUCUCUUCUGACUUCAGAGGGCUGCCACACACACGGUAUACAUGAACUUACAUAAACAUACACAUAUACAGAACUUAGUUACUUUCCAGUUUUUUUGUUUGUUUGUUUGUUUUUUUGUUUUUAAACAGGGUAUUGCUAUGAAAAGGCCUGGCUUACUUGGAACUCACUAGGUUGGCUUUGAAUUGCAGUGGCCCUCUUGGUGUGGGCUCAGGGUACUUGAUGUUACUGAUACGGUUAAAAUGCAGCUUGACCCAUCUUGUCCUUUGUCAUCUGGCAAGGGACACCCAGCCCAGGAUGGAGAAAUUCUUUAUUAGGGAACCAUGGCCAGGCUCUGGCUUCUUAGUCUUGCAUUGCAGAGUAUGUGGAUGCAUGCAGGAGUGUAGGGGGUGGGGUAGAGCAAAGGCACAGUGAACUGGGAAGGACUCCAUGCUGGUUUUCAAAUACUGGAGACAGCCAAGGGGGGGAGAUGACAGAAGUGAAGAAGGGGUCAAGUUGACAGAGAGUUAGGCAUUGUCAUGAUUCCCCAUCAUGAACCUGGUAGAACCAUCCCUUCUUUCUCAUUCUUAUGUCCUUCAUGGAAAAAAAAUGAAAAAAGUGAAAAAUAAAAAUUUUAAUACAUC